AUGCAUGGGUCCGUCCGGCCAAAUGGCCCGCAUGCGCAACAGGCGGCCGCUGCGGUAGCGAGUCAUGAGCACGGGCGUACUCCAUCCUACUCGAUUGAUCCUACAUUGUACAUGGACACGGGAGUUACGAACCACCUCACCAACGACAUGGGCAAGCUUUCCACUCAGGAGCCAUAUCGCGGCCAUGAUCAGGUGCACACCGCCAACGGAGCAGGUAUGCGCAUCUCCCAUGUUGGUCAGGCAUCUCUUCUUGCACACAAUUCGCGAAAACUGUAUCUUUCUAAUAUUCUUCGUAUUCUCACUGCUUCGCGCAGUUUGUUGUCUGUUCCACAACUUACUCGUGAUAAUAAUGUCCUUGUUGAAUUUCAUCCUUUUGGUUUCUUUAUCAAGGAUCGGGACACGAGGGCCGUUCUGCUUAGCGGUCGUCUUCGCCGUGGCUUGUAUGCACUUGACGCGGCGACCGCACCUUCCAUGCAGUUUUCUCCUCAGGCGUUCAGUGGUGUUCGUGUCUCACCUACACAUUGGCACGCGCGACUUGGUCAUCCUGCUGCCCCCAUAGUCCGUCAUGUGUUGCAUCGUCAUGAACUACCGGUUGUGUCAAAUAAAACUGCUGAAACUAUUUGUGAUGCCUGUCAGCAGGGCAAGAGUCACCAACUCCCGUUUUCAGAGUCUAGUCGUGUUGUGAAACAUCCUCUUGAACUUGUGUUUUCCGAUGUAUGGGGUCAUGCCCAAACGUCUGUCAGUGGCCACAAUUAUUAUGUCAGUUUUAUUGAUGCUUAUAGUCGGUUUACUUGGCUUUAUCUUGUUAAGAAAAAAAUCUGA
rnacentral:rRNA from 1 species